rnacentral:rRNA from 1 species
GCUUAGCCCUAAACUUUAAUAGUCAAAACAACAAGACUAUUCGCCAGAACACUACAAGCAACAGCUUAAAAUUCAAAGGACUUGGCGGUGCUUCAUACCCACCUAGAGGAGCCUGUUCUAUAAUCGAUAAACCCCGAUCAACCUUACCACCUCUCGCUUAGCCUAUAUACCGCCAUCUUCAGCAAACCUCAACAAGAGAUGUAAAGUAAGCACAAAUGCCCACGCAAAAACGUUAGGUCAAGGUGUAGCUUAUGAGUUGGGAAAAAUGGGCUACAUUUUCUACCCCAGAAAAUCAUACGACAGCUCUUAUGAAACCUGAGAGUCCAAGGAGGAUUUAGUAGUAAACUAAGAGCAGAGUGCUUAGUUGAAUAAGGCCAUGAAGCACGC